ACGCUCGACACCUACGGGGGCAGCAGUGGGGAAUAUUGGGCAAUGGGCGAAAGCCUGACCCAGCAACGCCGCGUGAGGGAAGAAGGUUUUUCGGAUUGUAAACCUCUGUCCUCAGGGACGAAGGACGUGACGGUACCUGAGGAGGAAGCCCCGGCUAACUACGUGCCAGCAGCCGNGUAUCUGAGGCGGGCGUGGCGAAGGC
rnacentral:rRNA from 1 species